rnacentral:rRNA from 1 species
UACGUAGGGUGCAAGCGUUGUCCGGAAUUAUUGGGCGUAAAGAGCUCGUAGGCGGCUUGUCACGUCGGGUGUGAAAGCCCGGGGCUUAACCCCGGGUCUGCAUUCGAUACGGGCAGGCUAGAGUUCGGUAGGGGAGAUCGGAAUUCCUGGUGUAGCGGUGAAAUGCGCAGAUAUCAGGAGGAACACCGGUGGCGAAGGCGGAUCUCUGGGCCGAUACUGACGCUGAGGAGCGAAAGCGUGGGGAGCGAACAGG